UAGCUCAGAUGGUAGAGAAUCUGCCUGCAAUGCAGGAGACCCAGGUUUGAUCCCUGG
rnacentral:tRNA from 1 species